rnacentral:ncRNA from 1 species
UCUUAUUAAGAGUGGUGGAGAGUGAAGGCUCUGUGAAACCACGGCAACCCCCAUUAGAGGAAGGUGCCAAUCUGAGCGAGAAAUCGAACAAU